rnacentral:rRNA from 1 species
UGCGUGACCGACCUGCCCCAUACACCGGAAUAGCUCCUGGAAACGGGUGGUAAUGCCGGAUGCUCCGACUCCUCGCAUGGGGUGUCGGGAAAGAUUUCAUCGGUAUGGGAUGGGGUCGCGUCCUAUCAGGUAGUCGGCGGGGUAACGGCCCACCGAGCCUACGACGGGUAGCCGGCCUGAGAGGGCGACCGGCCACAUUGGGACUGAAAUACGGCCCAAACUCCUACGGGAGGCAGCAGUGGGGAAUAUUGCACAAUGGGCGCAAGCCUGAUGCAGCGACCCCGCGUGCGGGAUGACGGCCUUCGGGUUGUAAACCGCUUUUGAUCGGGAGCAAGCCUUCGGGUGAGUGUACCUUUCGAAUAAGCACCGGCUAACUACGUGCCAGCAGCCGCGGUAAUACGUAGGGUGCAAGCGUUAUCCGGAAUUAUUGGGCGUAAAGGGCUCGUAGGCGGUUCGUCGCGUCCGGUGUGAAAGUCCAUCGCUUAACGGUGGAUCUGCGCCGGGUACGGGCGGGCUGGAGUGCGGUAGGGGAGACUGGAAUUCCCGGUGUAACGGUGGAAUGUGUAGAUAUCGGGAAGAACACCAAUGGCGAAGGCAGGUCUCUGGGCCGUUACUGACGCUGAGGAGCGAAAGCGUGGGGAGCGAACAGGAUUAGAUACCCUGGUAGUCCACGCCGUAAACGGUGGAUGCUGGAUGUGGGGCCCGUUCCACGGGUUCCGUGUCGGAGCUAACGCGUUAAGCAUCCCGCCUGGGGAGUACGGCCGCAAGGCUAAAACUCAAAGAAAUUGACGGGGGCCCGCACAAGCGGCGGAGCAUGCGGAUUAAUUCGAUGCAACGCGAAGAACCUUACCUGGGCUUGACAUGUUCCCGACAGCCGUAGAGAUAUGGCCUCCCUUCGGGGCGGGUUCACAGGUGGUGCAUGGUCGUCGUCAGCUCGUGUCGUGAGAUGUUGGGUUAAGUCCCGCAACGAGCGCAACCCUCGCCCUGUGUUGCCAGCACGUCAUGGUGGGAACUCACGGGGGACCGCCGGGGUCAACUCGGAGGAAGGUGGGGAUGACGUCAGAUCAUCAUGCCCCUUACGUCCAGGGCUUCACGCAUGCUACAAUGGCCGGUACAACGGGAUGCGACACGGCGACGUGGAGCGGAUCCCUGAAAACCGGUCUCAGUUCGGAUUGGAGUCUGCAACCCGACUCCAUGAAGGCGGAGUCGCUAGUAAUCGCGGAUCAGCAACGCCGCGGUGAAUGCGUUCCCGGGCCUUGUACACACCGCCCGUCAAGUCAUGAAAGUGGGUAGCACCCGAAGCCGGUGGCCUAACCCUU